rnacentral:lncRNA from 1 species
GAAUCUUUUACUUCUACGGAAAUAGAGUUUAGGUUGAAGACAAAUAGUAGAAUUGUGGGGUCGUCUAGAUUUUUUUGAUAAUCGUGGUGCCCGAGCCAACUUGUGUGCACCUCGACUAAUUCCACAGUAUACCUGCUGCCUCCCGCUAACAAAAGGUACCGGAUAACUCUGACCACCAAGGCUUUUGUUAGAUAUGUAAAUAUAGUAGAACUCUAG